CGACGUAGUUGACUCCGUCGGCUACGAGGACGACGCUGGCGGCGUGCCUAACACAUGCAAGUCGAGCGGAGCCAUCUAGAAGACUCCCGUUCGGGGGUGAUUCGUGGGGAAGCUUAGCGGCGGACGGGUGAGUAACGCGUGAGUAACCUGCCCAUUAGUGGGGAAUAACACAGAGAAAUUUGUGCUAAUACCGCAUACGGAGUAGAAGGGACAUCCCUUCAGACUUAAAAGAUUUAUCGCUAAUGGAUGGACUCGCGUCUGAUUAGAUAGUUGGUAGGGUAACGGCCUACCAAGUCGACGAUCAGUAGCCGAACUGAGAGGUUGAUCGGCCACAUUGGGACUGAGACACGGCCCAGACUCCUACGGGAGGCAGCAGUGGGGGAUAUUGCGCAAUGGGGGAAACCCUGACGCAGCAACGCCGCGUGCAGGAUGACGGCCUUCGGGUUGUAAACUGUUGUCGCAAGGGAAGAAACAAAUGACGGUACCUUGUGAGAAAGCCACGGCUAACUACGUG
rnacentral:rRNA from 1 species